AGCUGAGGACCAUCUGGCUAGACCAUCUGUCACUCCAUUGAUUGCCAGGACUGACUCAGCUGAUCUGGCUGGCUUAGGCAGGUGUCCACAUGCUGCUCCCUCACCGCUUUAUAUGUGUCCCUCCCGAAGUUGUGCUCAUCGUAGGAGAGGACGACCUUCCUAGAAGACCAUUCUUUGGUCAAGGGUAUAUGAAUGGCUGUGAUCCCCCUUGCCAGCGCCUCUAAACAAGUUCUGAUUGACCCAUUUCUACCCCAUGUGAAGGCCCUUGUGUUGGCCUGAGUGGGUGAGUCUUGAAAGCCCCAUUCCCCACCUCCUAGGUUUUCAAUGCCCCAAAGCCAAAAUGGACCCAGCUAUCUGGGA
rnacentral:snRNA from 1 species